CUGUUAGUCCCCAACCCCCAAUUUCAGGAAAUUUAAAUGCAUUAUUUCAGUGAGUCUACCCUGACAACUAUCCUGUAAGUUUGCUGCUAUUAUCCUCAUUUGGCUCAGAGAAGUUAAGUGACUUGUCCAAGGCCACACAGCUGGUAAGCAGCAGAGCUGGAAUCCAAACCAGGCCUGUCUGAAUUCUGAAUAGGGGCUCCUCCCAGUGCCUCUCAGAGGACAAAGGCUGAAGCCAGACUUGCCUGGUUUCUCCCUGACACCCCAGGCCUAGACCCUGCACAGAUGUGAGGCCCACACAUCACUCCUGGCCCGAGCAGAAUACACAGAGUGCUUCCCUGCCUCCCCGGCAGUGAGCCGUUGAACACAGACUUCGGAGGAGAGGGAAGGAACAGGCUGCUUUUCCCUGGGCCGGGCUCUGUCAGGCAGGCCUGAUUUGCACAGCUGCCCCAGACACUGCGGAAACAAACACUGGGCUGUUGGGUCAGGCUCCCCUGAUUCCUCAGAUGAGGGAGCCAGACUGGAGCCAGCGCAUUGCUCAACCCCCAGGCAACCGCUGACCAGGCCCUCCUGGGCUCUGUCUCCACUGGCAGCUGUGAGCGGCGCAGCCUCUUGGCGGGCCGAGCAGCCCCCGGCCCUGCUGGCAGAGGUAAUGAAGUUAAGGAUCUCAAGAUGAGAGCUUCAUGGAAGACGGUGGGCCCUGAAUCCAAUGACAAGUGUCCCCAUAAGGGGAGAAGACACCGAGGAGAAGGCCACGUGAAGAUGAAGGCAGACACUAGAGGGAUGCUGUCACAAGCCAAGGGACACCUGGAGCCACCAGAAGCUGGAAGAGGCAAGAAACAGAGGGCUCCCAGAGCCUUUGAAGGGAGCACUACCCUGCCAACACUUUGAUUUGGGGCUUCUGGCCUCCAGAAUGCAGCCCCGUCAUUUCCACCAAAGCACCAGGAGUCGUACACACCUGAGGUCCAAGCUCCAUCUGCAUCAAGCUCACUGUUCUUAUUUACUCCCCACUUGCUGCAUGCCUGGCAUAGCGCUGACCUGUCAGUGCCUCGACUUCCUUAUCUGGUAAAUUGGGAUAAUCUCAGUAUCCACUUUAUAGGUUGUUAUGAAGAUUAAAUGAGCUAACUGUGCAAACCACCAAUUGUGCUGACCAAGGACUCAUAUCUAGCAUUAUAUAAAGGACACUCAAAACUCCA